UACGUAGGCAGCGAGCGUUGUUCGGAAUUACUGGGCGUAAAGAGUGUGUAGGCGGUGCUCUAAGUUCGGUGUGAAAUCUCCUGGCUCAACUGGGAGGGUGCGCCGGAAACUGGAGUGCUUGAGCGUGGGAGAGGAAAGCGGAAUUCCUGGUGUAGCGGUGAAAUGCGUAGAUAUCAGGAGGAACACCUGUGGUGUAGACGGCUUUCUGGACCAUAGCUGACGCUGAGGUGCGAAAGCGUGGGGAGCAAACAGG
rnacentral:rRNA from 1 species